GGAGAACUAGUCUAACUAAAGACAGCUGAUUUCGACUCAUCCAAUUAUGGUUUAAACCCAUAGUUCUCCU
rnacentral:tRNA from 1 species